CCAACCAGAUUCCCUGGUCACUCUUGAGGGCACAGGCCACUGCAAAAGCAUUCUUUGCUCUUGUAUUCCUUACUGUAAAAACAGAAACAUAUAGACCACACACAAUUUAGAAGUCCCUGAAGCAUUAAACAAAUGCAAGACUUUUGAACUUCAAAUGCUGUCAUCAGCAGCCUUUCCAGAACGACUAAUAAGAAUCCAGGAAGCAUGCAACAGUAUACAAAUACACUGCAUGCUGUAUUGUGUACUCAUCAGUCUAAAGCUUCCAGGCAGGCUAUAUUUUGUUCUCGAUAUUCCCAAUUCUUGUGAACUUUACUCUUUCCUUCUGGUACUUGAGAUGCAUAGGAUUUUAGUUCUGUUUUUACUUUUGCUGCUGUUUUACCAUGGAAUCAAUUGAAAACCCUGGUUUUCAGAGGUAUCUAGUUGCAUGCUCUGCUCAUUUCUUUCCAUAGCCUUUUGAAUUGGUAGUUCCCUCUCAGAUUUGUUUCAACUACAUAUGCAGGGAGCCAGUGGCCUGAAGAAUUUGGUCAGUUGUAAUCUAUGGAGUGCUUGUGUGAGCAGCUGUUGGGAUUAUUUACUUUCACAUCACCCUUGGGCAGGGCAGAUCACGCUGAUGUACCUAGCCACACUGUGUUAAGUCGGAGUGCCAUUAAAUGCAGCUUUGCUCUCCUGCCCAUUGUAUGGGAACUGGCCAUUUCUUGCUCUAACUGGAGUCUGUUUGACUACCCAGCAGAUGUAUUGUGUUUUUUUGUUGAAUCAAGAUAAGGAAAAACAGGGUGAGACCAGGAAGAGGAUGCAAAUUACGUAGGAGAAGGAUUGUGGUUCACAUGGCUGUUUUGGUUUUUUGGCUAAUGUAAAUGGCCUUUGCCUUGUUGUGACGCUUUUGCUGUCCAUAAAUUUUCACAGUUGCGAGGGGAUGACAUCUCUGAAUGUCAUCAAGUGGGAGGGGUGGAAUUAAAGUGCACUCUUUUGAAAGGAGGGACGUUUUGAUGUGUGUCCUUAGCAAUGAGAGCCAGUGUAAAUUGUGGUGGCAGAAGUAAGCUUUGCCUACCAGCUACCAAGCAGCUAUCAGGCAAAACACUCAGUCCUUCGAAGCACCAGGUUCAUGUUUAAGUGAGGCGUUAACCACAGUAAACUUCUGCUGAAUUGAUGGGUUAUUUCCUAGUAUCACACUUGUGUGAAAAACUGAGCUCUGCCUUUUCCAGCAUUGUCAUCUUGCAUCUUGUCGCUACGUAGGACAAGAGACAGGAUGAACAUUUGUGGCCGAAUUAUCUGUCUUGAUGAAUAAGUCUCUAAUUCUGCUCUGUUACUCAAGAGCAUUUUCAAUGAACAAUCCUUGCUCCAGGGAGGAGGGGGAAAUCUCAACUUAUUUAUCAAACUUGCUAACAGCAUAGAAUGCAAUAUCAAACUUGAAAAAGUGGUUCACACAUGACUUAUUCUUGCCAUUACUUUUUUUUUUUUUUCUAAUAAAGAAGACAAAGAUUUCACUGAUAAGAUUUGCCUCAUUUUGGGUAUGGAGGAUGUAAUGUGCACCAGAAAAAAAAUCUCAGCCUUCCGUUUGAUUUUAGUUUGUUAAGAGGUAGCUAGGAUAUGGCAAUCCUGCAAUCUGUUCUACAGCUGUAAGUGGGCAAUUUUGUUCAUUUCUAUGCACUCUGUAUAAUCCGUGCAGAGACUUGGCAAAGCUACAAUGAGGAAUGGCAUGAGGGCUUGUCACAGGGAAGGCUGACUGAUCCAUGCAGAUGGGUUUUCUUGGAAGUUUGUAAGUUUAGAAACCAUUUAAAAUCUAGUUCAGCUUUAUUUUGGUUCAGCUAUGGAUUGAGCCAUAGACCAGAUUCCAGUGCUGGGCUGUUCUAAUGUUUAUUUUUGUUAUUUAAGCGUGUUCUUAAGUAGCUCCUAGAGUCAGCAUCCUGCAGUAUCAGCAUAGCCUGACUCACGAUCCUUAAGUUAUCUUUUAGCUGUGACAGUGCAAAAUGACAUCUUUGUUAUGUCGUGAUGGAGCUAUCCUGUGGGUUUACCUAACAUAAGCAGAGGAACAAGCAUAAGAAGUGUAUAGGUGUUCUUGCUUGCACAAAACUACUGAUAAAGGAAGUUGUUCAGCUUAGGGCAAUGCUUCUUGACCAAGCCCAACUUCUUGCAUGAUCUCCUGUGAGAAUUUGUUACCUCAUAAUGCUUUUAGUAGCAUUUUGGUUUGGUAGGACUCCUUUACCUCAGUUUUGCUUGGUGGGUGUACCAGAUAGUAGGUUCUCCUUCUGCACAGAUCGUAGCACAGCUGAUAGUUAGUCCCUCUUCCCUAACUAUAAUCUUGUUGUUCUCAACUCUGAGCUCAAGUAAAAGUAGAAGCUGUUAGAGAAAGUAAGUAUUCUGCCUCCAGUUAUGCUGAGGAGCCAAGUCAGGGCCAGCACAGUGCUCUCUUGUGUGACAAAAAGGCAAUGGGCUCAUUUCUUCUGCAUGCCUGAAUUGUCCUUCAUGAAGACCUGCCCUGCCAGCCUGAGCAUGCAGCUCUAGGUGUACUUUUCACCGUGCUGGUUUCUGCUCUGCAGUCACCUUUAUUUUCCUGUAAUAGUUAAUCUGCCUCCUUGUAUUUCACUCACUCAGCUUUUCCUCCAAUUCUGAACUUGUAUCAAGGCACUUCACCACUUGUCAAAUGUCCUGGCCCAUGGAUAUAUUUGUGGUGGGUACCUUUUGUUUGUUCGUUCUUCAAUAGCUGCAGUCAUGUGUGCACUUACCCAGGCCUUGUUCUGUUUGUGUCAAAUACUCUUUCUGGUCUACCUGGCAUUCACUUUGAAAUGUUUGAUGAAUAGCUUGCUAAAGGAAGUGGAGAAAAACACUCAGAACUUUCUGCAAGUCCUGCCAGCAUGCAUUACCAGUGUGGUGAAUAGAACAGAGCUUUUGAGCACUGCAGCUGAAAUACCAGCUUUGGAAAGCAAUAGACCUAAUGGCUGCGGAGCUGUCACUUCCUGUGAGAUAUGAAGCCUAGUUUCUAGUACUGGCUCCAGCGAGCACGUUUUCUGAACAGUCAGUUUCUGGAUGAAGCACAUAAGCAGGAAUGCCAGCUCGACUCCCUCAUUUCCAAUCAGAACUGUCCUGGGAACCUCAGAGCUGGUGCAACCUGUCUCCCACGCUGCCCCUUGAGCUGACCUUUAUGAACUUGGAGAUUUCCAGGCUCUCUACACAACUCACUGCACCGGGUGCCGAUAAUCUUAGCAACACUAGAAAUCAAGCUGUAUGUUCUGUGUUCGUUACCCUGUGACUUGCUGCUUAGCAGCUGCAAAACAGACUGCAUUUGCAUGAAUUUGCUGGUUGGGGGUGGUCAGUGGAGGGCAACUGCUUCACAAUCUCAGUAAUUUUCAGCAUUUUCUGCAUCCUCAACUGGUUCUCCUGUGAUGAUCACUUUCUUUAGAAAUACUACUCCGAAGCCUGAA